rnacentral:rRNA from 1 species
AGACCCGAAACCCGGUGAUCUAGCCAUGGGCAGGUUGAAGGUUGGGUAACACUAACUGGAGGACCGAACCGACUAAUGUUGAAAAAUUAGCGGAUGACCUGUGGCUGGGGGUGAAAGGCCAAUCAAACCGGGAGAUAGCUGGUUCUCCCCGAAAGCUAUUUAGGUAGCGCCUCGUGAAUUCAUCUCCGGGGGUAGAGCACUGUUUCGGCUAGGGGGCCAUCCCGGCUUACCAACCCGAUGCAAACUGCGAAUACCGGAGAAUGUUAUCACGGGAGACACACGGCGGGUGCUAACGUCCGUCGUGAAGAGGGAAACAACCCAGACCGCCAGCUAAGGUCCCAAAGUCAUGGUUAAGUGGGAAACGAUGUGGGAAGGCCCAGACAGCCAGGAUGUUGGCUUAGAAGCAGCCAUCAUUUAAAGAAAGCGUAAUAGCUCACUGGUCGAGUCGGCCUGCGCGGAAGAUGUAACGGGGCUAAACCAUGCACCGAAGCUGCGGCAGCGAACGUAUCACCCAAGACAACUUUACGGAGUUGACGAUUGACGGAGCGAAGCGACGUCAAAGCGUUCAUUAAAGUCGAGUUGGCUUAGGGAUACGUUCGUUGGGUAGGGGAGCGUUCUGUAAGCCUGUGAAGGUGGCCUGUGAGGGUUGCUGGAGGUAUCAGAAGUGCGAAUGCUGACAUAAGUAACGAUAAAGCGGGUGAAAAGCCCGCUCGCCGGAAGACCAAGGGUUCCUGUCCAACGUUAAUCGGGGCAGGGUGAGUCGACCCCUAAGGCGAGGCCGAAAGGCGUAGUCGAUGGGAAACGGGUUAAUAUUCCCGUACUUGGUGUUACUGCGAAGGGGGGACGGAGAAGGC